CCUACGGGAGGCAGCAGUGGGGAAUAUUGGGCAAUGGGCGCAAGCCUGACCCAGCAACGCCGCGUGAAGGAAGAAGGCUUUCGGGUUGUAAACUUCUUUUCUCAGGGACGAAGCAAGUGACGGUACCUGAGGAAUAAGCCACGGCUAACUACGUGCCAGCAGCCGCGGUAAUACGUAGGUGGCAAGCGUUAUCCGGAUUUACUGGGUGUAAAGGGCGUGUAGGCGGGGACGCAAGUCAGAUGUGAAAACCACGGGCUCAACCUGUGGCCUGCAUUUGAAACUGUGUUUCUUGAGUACGGGUGAGGCAGGCGGAAUUCGUAGUGUAGCGGUGAAAUGCGUAGAUAUUAGGAGGAACACCAGUGGCGAAGGCGGUCUGCUGGACAGCAACUGACGCUGAGGCGCGAAAGCGUGGGGAGCAAACAGGAUUAGAUACCCUUGUAGUC
rnacentral:rRNA from 1 species